AUCUAGUAAAGGGCACGGGGGGACACGUGUCCCCCCUAAUUAAAAAAAAAAAAAAAAUUACCGCCGUGAUUUCGGGAAAAAAAUAUAAGUGUCCCCCUAAAAAAUUUGAAAAUUUAGGGGUGUCCCCGCGAAUUUUAAAAGUUCAAGUAAGUUGCAGUGGUUUAAUAAAAUUAUAAGGAACUAAAAGGUAAUUUGUACACAUAUAUUUAUAUUAAAAAUAUGAAUAGAUAUAACAUAUGUUUUAGUCUCUGCAGUCUGUUCUCUCGAGCAGAGCUUGUGCCUGGCUAGUGUAAGUACUCACCUUUUUAUUAAUCCAAAUUACCCACCGAUCAAAUACAAACCGAAUACAAUCACUGAAUCAUCUAUCAGCUACUAGUUAAUUAGAUAUGUGCUUGAGGCUUCUGAUGUGGAGCGCUGCGUUUUCUGUCCUUACCUGUCCGAGCUCCGCCUAAUCCAUGGAUGUUUCUUCUUCAGUUCUUCUGCAGAGUAAUUCCGGAAUCUAAAGAUUAAACAAAGUCAUGGGUGAUGGCCUGAUGGGUACCAGCAGGCUAGCAGAGUAGCAGGCAACAGCUGAAAAGGGGGAAUUCUCAAUUCUGUGAUUACAAAAUUAAGUUAAUCAAUUAUGCAUCGAUUCUAUAAAAAACUCCGAACAUCUCCCCCCUCAUCUCCAACACCUCCCCAGCCAAUAGUAAAUGAGUCUCCAAUUGUAGAUGUUCCUGAAUCUUACCCACCAGAUUUAAACCCGG